GACGAACGCUGGCGGCGUGCCUAAUACAUGCAAGUAGAACGCUGAAGAGAGGAGCUUACUCUUCUUGGAUGAGUUGUGAACGGGUGAGUAACGCGUAGGUAACCUGCCUUGUAGCGGGGGAUAACUAUUGGAAACGAUAGCUAAUACCGCAUAACAAUGGAUGACACAUGUCAUUUAUUUGAAAGGGGCAAUUGCUCCACUACAAGAUGGACCUGCGUUGUAUUAGCUAGUAGGUGAGGUAAUGGCUCACCUAGGCGACGAUACAGAGCCGACCUGAGAGGGUGGACGACCAACACUGGGAUGGGACAACGGCCAGACCCCCACGGGGAGGAGCAGGAGGGAAUCUUCGGCCAUGGGGGCAAACCUGACCGCGGAAAGCCGCGUGAGUGAAGAAAGGUCUCCGAUCGGAAAGCUCUGUUGUAAGGGAAGAACGGGUGUGAGAGUGGAAAGUUCACACUGUGACGGUAGCUUACCAGAAAGCGACGGCUAACUACGUG
rnacentral:rRNA from 1 species